rnacentral:rRNA from 1 species
UACGGAGGGGGCUAGCGUUGUUCGGAAUUACUGGGCGUAAAGCGCGCGUAGGCGGAUCCGCAAGUCGGGGGUGAAAUCCCGAGGCUCAACCUCGGAACUGCCUUCGAUACUGCGGGUCUCGAGUCCGGGAGAGGUGAGUGGAAUUCCUAGUGUAGAGGUGAAAUUCGUAGAUAUUAGGAAGAACACCAGUGGCGAAGGCGGCUCACUGGCCCGGUACUGACGCUGAGGCGCGAAAGCGUGGGGAGCAAACAGG